rnacentral:rRNA from 1 species
UACGUAGGAGGCAAGCGUUGUCCGGAAUCACUGGGCGUAAAGCGCGUGUAGGCGGAUCGCUAAGUCUGUGGUGAAAGCGCCUGGCUCAACCGGGCGAGGUCCAUGGAAACUAGCGGUCUGGAGGCCGGCAGAGGGGGGUGGAAUUCCGGGUGUAGCGGUGAAAUGCGUAGAUAUCCGGAGGAACACCGGUGGCGAAGGCGGCUUCCUGGACCGACACUGACGCUGAGGCGCGAAAGCUAGGGGAGCAAACGGG